AGUGAACGCUGGCGGUAGGCCUAACACAUGCAAGUCGAACGGCAGCACAGUAAGAGCUUGCUCUUACGGGUGGCGAGUGGCGGACGGGUGAGGAAUACAUCGGCAUCUACUUUUUCGUGGGGGAUAACGUAGGGAAACUUACGCUAAUACCGCAUACGACCUACGGGUGAAAGCAGGGGAUCUUCGGACCUUGCGCGAUUGAAUGAGCCGAUGUCGGAUUAGCUAGUUGGCGGGGUAAAGGCCCACCAAGGCGACGAUCCGUAGCUGGUCUGAGAGGAUGAUCAGCCACACUGGAACUGAGACACGGUCCAGACUCCUACGGGAGGCAGCAGUGGGGAAUAUUAGACAAUGGGCGCAAGCCUGAUCCAGCCAUACCGCGUGGGUGAAGAAGGCCUUCGGGUUGUAAAGCCCUUUUGUUGGGAAAGAAAAGCAGCAGAUUAAUACCCCGCUGUUCUGACGGUACCCAAAGAAUAAGCACCGGCUAACUUCGUG
rnacentral:rRNA from 1 species